UCCUUGCGGGGCCCCCUCCGGUCGGAGGGUACGGAGGGCGCUCGCUACACCUCUGCAGGGAGCCUUUCAGCCUGGAGAUACCCUGGGAUUGGAAGGAGAGAGACAUGGGUCUCAACCCAAGAGAGGCAACAGCUAGGAAGCCGGAAGCCUGAGUAUGGGUGCCCUUGUUGAACCAUAGAGGGGAAAUACAAGUGCAGUUGCCCUGAACUGUGCAAGGAACAAUAGGAGAUAGUAGACAUUUUGGCAGGGGGAAAUUCUUUUGAAUUUUUCUGUAGGAAAUUGUUUUCAGACCCUGCUGUAGAAGAAACUUGCAGUUAGAAUGAAGAAUAGUAAAAUGACAUUUAACCCUAAAAACCACUCUGAACACAGCCUCUGCACCAAAUCUACUUAGCAGUGUGUGGCCAAACAGAGAGAAACAGGUUCCCUCCCAGACAGGAGAGAAGGCAGCUAUUUACCUGUCUCCAAUGAAAUUAAGCAAAGUAUGACUACAAAUAAUGGAAGCCCCAUUUACUUUCAAAUCAGCAUGAGGAUGGGAAGCCCGCAGCAAGGAAAGAACAGCAUGAUGUCAUCCUGCCUCUUGAAACAAGGAAGACACGGGAAGCCAACAUCUUGUACUUCUGUGGAAGGUCCUGACUGAGGGGAAAGUCAGCCUUGCCUGGGAAGAAGAAUGACUGACACCCCAAGAAAGAAGAGACAGGAGGCGCCAGUACUGUUGGGCUGGAUGGUCGAGAGGGGAGUGGAGGAGUCGAGAGGUACCAACUUUAUUAUCAGAAUCACCCAGAUGGCAGAUUGACGACUGUAAAGCAAAGGCAUACACCCCAAGGACAAGAUGAGGAGUUAAGCAAGAGGGACGAGAUAAGAAACAACUGCGGAUCCUCCUAGUAACAACUCAAAAUAAUGCUGAUUAAGAGCAACCUUGAAUACCUUGUGAUUAACAGCUCCAAUGUGACACAGCAAGGUCCACA